rnacentral:rRNA from 1 species
GCCCUGAGAUGAGGUCUCCCGGGGAUUCAAUCCCCCUGAAGGGCCCUCGUAGACUACGAGGUUGAUAGGCCGGGGGUGUAAGCGCGGCGACGCGUUUAGCUGACCGGUACUAAUCGCCCGUGCGGCUUGACCACUAU